UGUGUGAAUGUAAUGGAA
rnacentral:miRNA from 1 species